rnacentral:rRNA from 1 species
GACGAACGCUGGCGGCGUGCUUAACACAUGCAAGUCGAACGAUGAAGCCGGAGCUUGCUCUGGUGAAUUAGUGGCGAACGGGUGAGUAACACGUGAGUAACCUGCCCUUGACUCUGGGAUAACUGCGGGAAACUGUAGCUAAUACCGGAUACGACCCUCGGAGGCAUCUCCUGGGGGUGGAAAGAAUUUCGGUCAAGGAUGGACUCGCGGCCUAUCAGCUAGUUGGUGAGGUAAAGGCUCACCAAGGCGACGACGGGUAGCCGGCCUGAGAGGGUAACCGGCCACACAGGGAGUGAGACACGGCCCAGACUCCUAGGGGAGGCAGCAGUGGGGAAUAUUGCACAAUGGGCGGAAGCCUGAUGCAGCAACGCCGCGUGAGGGAUGACGGCCUUCGGGUUGUAAACCUCUUUUAGCAGGGAAGAAGCGAAAGUGACGGUACCUGCAGAAAAAGCACCGGCUAACUACGUGCCAGCCGCCGCGGUAA